GGGGCGUGGGGCUGAUGUGACACCAAAGUAUCCUAACUGAACUCCACAAGGUGGGGAUCCGUUCCUCUCAGAGGCCCUGUUCCUACAGACACACUGUGAAGGUGUCUUGAGCACAGGUCAUCACCCUCUUUUGGAUCUUCGAGAGAACCUGGCCACUGUAAUGCACCUGAGAGGUUGAAAGCCCUGUCUUUAACAGGACGAUGAGUCAGGGCACAGCAGUGUAAGCCCGUCAUUGGGGAACAUGCCAAAGAAUAUCCAGAAGAGAUCCCUAAAGCAGAACAUUUCAAGAGGUUCCGUUUUCACUCUGGAUGCAAUCGACACUAAAACAUCACUGUAUAGUUCUCAAAAGGUGUUUUUUUUUUUUUUUUUUUUGGUAAUCUAAAUGAAGGCAACAAAAAGGAGUCAUUAUCGCAGAGUAGGAUCAUCAUCCUCUUCAAUUCAGGAAACUAACUCACGGAGAGUGUAAGUAACUUGCCCACGGUCACAGAAGGAAUAAGUGGUGGGACCUUGAUUCAGAUCUA
rnacentral:lncRNA from 1 species